AACGAACGCUGGCGGCAGGCUUAACACAUGCAAGUCGAACGCAUCCUUCGGGGUGAGUGGCAGACGGGUGAGUAACGCGUGGGAACGUGCCCUUCAGUUCGGAAUAACCCAGGGAAACUUGGGCUAAUACCGGAUGCGUGCGAGAGCAGAAAGAUUUAUCGCUGAAGGAUCGGCCCGCGUCUGAUUAGCUAGUUGGUGAGGUAAUGGCUCACCAAGGCGACGAUCAGUAGCUGGUCUGAGAGGAUGAUCAGCCACAUUGGGACUGAGACACGGCCCACACUCCUACGGGAGGCAGCAGUGGGGAAUAUUGGACAAUGGGCGCAAGCCUGGUCCAGCCAUGCCGCGUGAGUGAUGAUGGCCUUAGGGUUGUAAAGCUCUUUCAGUGGGGACGAUAAUGACGGUACCCGCAGAAGAAGCCCCGGCUAACUUCGUGCCAGCAGCCGCCGUAA
rnacentral:rRNA from 1 species